rnacentral:lncRNA from 1 species
GUGAUAGAAGACAGUGAUGAUGGUGGUCAUGGUGAUGAGGAGGAGGUGAUAGAAGACAGUGAUGAUGGUGAUCAUGGUGAUGAGGAGGAGGUGAUAGAAGACAGUGAUGAUGGUGAUCAUGGUGAUGAGGAGGAGGUGAUAGAAGACAGCGAUGAUGGUGAUCAUGGUGAUGAGGAGGAGGAGGAGGUGAUAGAAGACAGUGAUGAUGGUGAUCAUGGUGAUGAGGAGGAGGUGAUAGAAGACAGCGAUGAUGGUGAUGAUGGUGAUGAGGAGGAGGAGGAGGUGAUAGAAGACAGUGAUGAUGGUGAUGAUGGUGAUGAUGAGGAGGAGGAGGUGAUAGAAGACAGUGAUGAUGGUGAUCAUGGUGAUGAGGAGGUGAUAGAAGACAGCGAUGAUGGUGAUGAUGGUGAUGAGGAGGAGGACGAGGUGAUAGAAGACAGUGAUGAUGGUGAUGAUGGUGAUGAUGAGGAGGAGGAGGUGAUAGAAGACAGUGAUGAUGGUGAUGAUGAGGAGGAGGAGGUGAUAGAAGACAGUGAUGAUGGUGAUGAUGGUGAUGAUGAGGAGGAGGAGGUGAUAGAAGACAGUGAUGAUGGUGAUCAUGGUGAUGAUGAG